rnacentral:rRNA from 1 species
CAGUAGCCGCGGUAAUACAGAGGGUGCGAGCGUUAAUCGGAUUUACUGGGCGUAAAGCGUGCGUAGGCGGCUUCUUAAGUCGGAUGUGAAAUCCCUGAGCUUAACUUAGGAAUUGCAUUCGAUACUGGGAAGCUAUAGUAUGGGAGAGGAUGGUAGAAUUCCAGGUGUAGCGGUGAAAUGCGUAGAGAUCUGGAGGAAUACCGAUGGCGAAGGCAGCCAUCUGGCCUAAUACUGACGCUGAGGUACGAAAGCAUGGGGAGCAAACAGGAUUAGAUACCCCAGUAGUCCCUGUCUCUUAUAC